rnacentral:rRNA from 1 species
AGUGAACGCUGGCGGCGUGCCUAAUACAUGCAAGUCGAACGGAGUGGCGCACGGGUGAGUAAUAUAUAGCUAAUCUGCCCCUUGCUGGAGGACAACAGUUAGAAAUGAAUGCUAAUACUCCAUAGAAAGGGAUGAGACUAUAUCGUAUCAGCUAGUCGGUGGGGUAACGGCCGACCGAGGCUAUGACGCGUAACUGGUCUGAGAGGAUGAUCAGUCACAUUGGAACUGAGACACGGGCGAAGCACCUACGGGAGGCAGCAGUAGGGAAUAUUGCGCAAGGGGGGAGAACCUGACGGAGCAGAGGCGCGUGAAGGAUGACACUUUUCGGAGCGUAAACUCCUUUUGUUAGGGAAGCGGUACCUAACGAAUAAGCACCGGCUAACUCCGUGCCAGCAGCCGCGGUAAUUC